rnacentral:lncRNA from 1 species
AAUUCUAAGAUUCUUGAUAGAAGCCUCAGACUGCUGCAGAUCUGAAAUUAUUUUGUUCUUUUCAUCUUGUAGUGCUAAUAUUUCAGCUUGGUGACUACACUUCGCCUCUUCUAGUUGCAUCUUCAACCGUGAGUUAAUAUUUUGUAGGUCUUCAUUAGCAAGCUGCAGAACAGAAAUUUGUUCAACUUGCUGCUCUAACUGAACUCUUAAGGUCUUGACUGAAUCAUUUGACUGAUGUAAGCUGUUAAUGGCCUCUUCCUUCUCUCCUUGUAGCACAAUAAUCUCAUCUUGCAGAUUAGUCCUUAUCUCUUCAAGUUGCUUGUGUAACCUAGAAUUUGUACUCUGCAUCUCUUCAUUUUCUCGCUGGAAAUGUAAAAUUUGGUUUUGCUGUUGUACCAUGUCACUUUGAAGUUCCUUGAUGUUAGCCUCUGAUUGCUGUAACUGAGCGAGUGCUGCAUUUUUCUCCGCUUGCAGUGCCAUAACCUCAUUAUACAGAUCAGUCUUUCCUGCUUCGAGGUCUUUAUUGGCCUCCUGAAGUUUUGAAAUCUCUUGGACUUGUUGUUCUAACUUGCUCUCAAGAUUAAUAACAGAAGUAGCAGGUUCAUUUUUUUGUCCUUGUAAUUCAACAAUUUCAUUAUGCAGGUUAGAAUUUGCCAGCUCCAGGCCUUCAUUAGUCUUCUGCAUAUCUGAAAUCCUCUCAAGUUGUUGUGCUAGCUCAGUCUUAAGAUUCAUCAAAGAAGCCUCUAGCUGCUCUAUCUCUGACAUGGCAGAAUCAUUAUCCUUCUGUAGCUCGGCAAUAUUACUUACAAGAAUCUUGAUAGAAGCCUCAGACUGCUGCAGAUCUGAAAUUAUUUUGUUCUUUUCAUCUUGUAGUGCUAAUAUUUCAGCUUGGUGACUAAACUUCGCCUCUUCCAGUUGCAUCUUCAACUUGGAGUUACUUUUUUGUAGGUCUUCAUUAGCAAGCUGCAGGUCAGAAAUUUGUUCAACUCGCUGGUCUAACAGAACUCCAAGGGUCUUGAGUGAAUCAUUUGACUUCUGUAAGCUAUUAAUGGCCUCUUCCUUCACUCCUUGUAGCACAAUGAUCUCAUCUUCCAGAUUAGUCCUUAUCUCUUCAAGUUGCUUGUGUAAACUAGAAUUUGUACUCUGCAGCUCUUCAUUUUCUCGCUGGAAAUAUGAAAUUUGGUUUUGCUGCUGUACCAGGUCACUUUGAAGUUUCUUGAUGUUAGCCUCUGAUUCCUGUAACUGGGCGAGUGCUGCAUUUUUCUCCUCUUGCAGUGCCGUAAUCUCAUUAUACAGGUCAGUCUUAGCUGCUUUAAGGUCUUUGUUGGCUUUCUGAAGAUUUGAAAUCUCUUGGACUUGUUGUUCUAACUUGCUCUCAAGAUUAAUAACAGAAUCAGCAGCUUCAUUUUUUUGUCCAUGUAAUUCUACAAUUUCAUUAUGCAGGUUAGAAUUUGCCAGCUCCAGGCCUUCAUUAGUCUUCUGCAUAUCUGAAAUCCGCUCAAGUUGUUGUGCUAGCUCAGUCUUAAGAUUCAUCAAAGAAGCCUCUAGCUGCUCUAUCUCUGACGUGGCAGAAUCAUUAUCCUUCUGUAGCUCGGCAAUAUUACUUACAAGAUUCUUGAUAGAAGCCUCAGACUGCUGCAGAUCUGAAAUUAUUUUGUUCUUUUCAUCUUGUUGUGCUAAUAUUUCAGCUUGGUGAAUAAACUUCGCCUGUUCUUGUUGCAUCUUCAACUGUGAGUUACUAUUUUGUAGGUCUUCAUUAGCAAGCUGCAGAACAGAAAUUUGUUCAACUGCCUGCUCUAACUGAGCUCCUAACGUCUUGACUGAAUCAUUGGACUGAUGUAAGUUGUUAAUGGCCUCUUCCUUCUCUCCUUGUAGCACAAUGAUCUCAUCUUGCAGAUUAGUCCUUAUCUCUUCAAGUUGCUUGUGUAACCUAGAAUUUGUACUCUGCAGCUCUUCAUUUUCUCGCUGGAAAAGUAAAAUUUGGUUUUGCUGCUGUACCAUGUCACUUUGAAGUUCCUUGAUGUUAGCCUCUGAUUGCUGUAACUGAGCGAGUGCUGCAUUUUUCUCCGCUUGCAGUGCCAUAACCUCAUUAUACAGAUCGCUCUUUCCUGCUUCGAGGUCUUUGUUGGCCUCCUGAAGUUUUGAAAUCUCUUGGACUUGUUGUUCUAACUUGCUCUCAAGAUUAAUAACUGAAGCAGCAGCUUCAUUUUUUUGUCCUUGUAAUUCUACCAUUUCAUUAUGUAGGUUAGAAUUUGCAAGCUCCAGACCUUCAUUAGUCUUCUGCAUAUCUGAAAUGCUCUCAAUCUGUUGUGCUAGCUCAGUUUUAAGAUUCAUCAAAGAAGCCUCUAGCUGCUCUAUCUUUGAGGUGGCACAAUCAUUAUCUUUCUGUAGCUCGGAAAUAUUACUUACAAGAUUCUGGAUAGAAGCCUCAGACUGCUGCAGAUCUGAAAUUAUUUUGUUCUUUUCAUCUUGUAGUGCUAAUAUUUCAGCUUGGUGACUAAACUUCGCCUCUUCCAGUUGCAUCUUCAACUUGGAGUUACUAUUUUGUAGGUCUUCAUUAGCAAGCUGCAGGUCAGAAAUUUGUUCCACUCGCUGGUCUAACAGAACUCCAAGGGUCUUGACUGAAUCAUUUGACUUCUGUAAGCUAUUAAUGGCCUCUUCCUUCACUCCUUGUAGCACAAUGAUCUCAUCUUGCAGAUUAGUUCUUAUCUCUUCAAGUUGCUUGUGUAAACUAGAAUUUGUACUCUGCAGCUCUUCAUUUUCUCGCUGGAAAUGUGAAAUUUGGUUCUGCUGCUGUACCAGGUCACUUUGAAGUUUCUUGAUGUUAGCCUCUGAUUCCUGUAACUGAGCGAGUGCUGUAUUUUUCUCCUCUUGCAGUGUCGUAACCUCAUUAUACAGAUCUGUCUUGGCUGCUUUGAGGUCUUUGUUGGCUUCCUGAAGAUUUGAAAUCUCUUGGACUUGUUGUUCUAACUUGCUCUCAAGAUUAAUAACAGAAGCAGCAGCUUCAUUUUUUUGUCCUUGUAAUUCUACAAUUUCAUUAUGCAGGUUAGAAUUUGCUAGUUCCAGGCCUUCAUUAGUCUUCUGCAUAUCUGAAAUCCUCUCAAGUUGUUGUGCUAGCUCAGUCUUAAGAUUCAUCAAAGAAAUCUCUAGCUGCUCUAUCUCUGAUGUCGCAGAAUCAUUAUCCUUUUGUAGCUCGGCAAUAUUACUUACAAGAUUCUUAAUAGAAGCCUCAGACUGCUGCAGAUCUGAAAUUAUUUUGUUCUUUUCAUCUUGUUGUGCUAAUAUUUCAGCUUGGUGACUAAACUUCGCCUGUUCUUGUUGCAUCUUCAACUGUGAGUUACUAUUUUGUAGGUCUUCAUUAGCAAGCUGCAGAACAGAAAUUUGUUCAACUGCCUGCUUUAACUGAGCUCCUAAGGUCUUGACUGAAUCAUUUGACUGAUGUAAGUUGUUAAUGGCCUCUUCCUUCUCUCCUUGUAGCACAAUGAUCUCAUCUUGCAGAGUAGUCCUUAUCUCUUCAAGUUGCUUGUGUAAACUAGAAUUUGUAUUCUGCAGCUCUUCAUUUUCUCGCUGGAAAAGUGAAAUUUGAUUUUGCUGUUGUACCAGGUCACUUUGAAGUUUCUUAAUGUUAGCCUCUGAUUGCUGUAACUGAGUGAGUGCUGUAUUUUUCUCCUCUUGCAGUAUUGUAACCUCAUUAUACAGAUCAGUCUUGGCUGCUUUGAG